rnacentral:lncRNA from 1 species
GCUGCACAGGUGCUAUUUCAGGGAGAGUGAGGAGUCUUCAGAUAAGGGGGAGUAAAAGGUAGCCCGCGGCACACUCGGUCACCAGGGCUCUGUCCUGAAGUGAGGCCACUUCAGCUAUUCCCACUCAUCCACGGUGCUAGAAGACUGAAGAUGGGAGCUGUCCCCAAGCCUGCUGACUGACUCCAUAG